UGAGAAGAUCUAGGGACUUCCAUCACCCUAUUCCCUUUUAUCCAAUCAAAUCUUGAGGUCGCCCUCCUUUUGUGGAGUUGUUCUCUUUUACGCUUAUUACUCCUUUCACCACUUUAUAACAAGCAAGAAUUAUUACAGCAUGAUUAUGGGAGUUUGGUGGUUUGAAAAUUUAUUUUCAAGAAAAGCUAUAAAUUAUAUUUUUCCAUGAUAAAUGUUUCUAAAAAAGGGAUUCAUACAAAGCUACGGUAAUACGAACACUUUUAAAACUGUAAAACACAGUUUCAACCGCACUUUAUCAUGCUAAUCUAUAAUCCAUGGCUAAUACUACAAAUAUUUACACGAAAAACUCUGACUCUGCUUCCAGUUGGCUUGCGCACAUGCACAGAAACAGGCAUCGAUUUCUGACUGUAUAAAUUACCAGAAAAGAAAAUCAAUGCUCCUAAUUACUUACUAUGAACAUGCAUAAUUCACGAGACAAACAUAGAGUGCUAUGAUAAUUUAGCAAUUGAUAUUUGAACAAGAGGUGAUUAUGAAAGUUACGUCAACAUAUCAAAUAAUUUACUCUGGCUGUUGCCUAUAGUGGCUGACAUCAAAUGCAUUAGGUGCAUAUCAGAGAAUGAGCAUGCGCAAACCAAAUGUAGGGUGAAGAUUGCAAAAUGAUGAUUAUCAUAAUAACUAAAACUUGUCACAUAGUCUUCCACUAGUGCUAAAUUGCUUGUAUAAAUAAGAGUAGUGUACAACUAGAUCACCCCAAGUACCAGUAAGUGGGUGGACUAAAGGUCGGAGAGAGACAGAGAGAAAAAAGCAAAAGGCAGAAAAAUGAAAAUGAUGCAAGACGAAACCCGAAAGGGUCCAUGGACAGAACAGGAGGACAUUCUACUGAUCAACUUCGUGAACUUAUUUGGUGAUCGACGAUGGGAUUUUAUAGCAAAAGUAUCAGGUUUGAAGGUGGCGGGAGACAAAUAUAGGUAUGCAUAUAUGGCGAUGGGUGGUUUUGUAAAGGAACCACCUUUAACCACCUGGUUUUGUUGUAGGUUUGAACAGAACAGGAAAAAGUUGCAGGUUGCGAUGGGUUAAUUAUCUCCACCCUGGUCUUAAAAGAGGAAAGAUGACACCUCAAGAAGAAAGACUCGUCCUGGAACUUCACGCCAGAUGGGGAAAUAGAUAUAUAUUACUGAAA